rnacentral:rRNA from 1 species
GAGUUUGAUCCUGGCUCAGAUUGAACGCUGGCGGCAGGCCUAACACAUGCAAGUCGGGCGGUAGAGAGAAGCUUGCUUCUCUUGAGAGCGGCGGACGGGUGAGUAAUGCCUAGGAAUCUGCCUGGUAGUGGGGGAUAACGCUCGGAAACGGACGCUAAUACCGCAUACGUCCUACGGGAGAAAGCAGGGGACCUUCGGGCCUUGCGCUAUCAGAUGAGCCUAGGUCGGAUUAGCUAGUUGGUGAGGUAAUGGCUCACCAAGGCGACGAUCCGUAACUGGUCUGAGAGGAUGAUCAGUCACACUGGAACUGAGACACGGUCCAGACUCCUACGGGAGGCAGCAGUGGGGAAUAUUGGACAAUGGGCGAAAGCCUGAUCCAGCCAUGCCGCGUGUGUGAAGAAGGUCUUCGGAUUGUAAAGCACUUUAAGUUGGGAGGAAGGGCAGUAAAUUAAUACUUUGCUGUUUUGACGUUACCGACAGAAUAAGCACCGGCUAACUCUGUGCCAGCAGCCG